AAGUCGUAACAAGGUUUCCGUAGGUGAACCUGCGGAAGGAUCAUUAACACGUAUCCAACGUUAAAACCCCCGUGAACCAAUGUCGUGCUCUCGUAGCCCAAGAGGAACAGCAAUCCCUGGUAAAGCAAGGUGUUGCUGCACUAUUUGAUUCAGGGACCUCUGUUAAGAAAGGCUAGUUACGAAUGUUGCGCUAGUUUCAGAGGCUUGGCUUCCCGAAACAGUGAGUGUCUGACAGUGGCACUCGCUGCGUAAGGAUAACAUCACCGACCGGCGGGCAAGUCUCAGGGCUCACGCCCCUUAAUAACCCCACAGUUUCCACUUAGGCUCGCGAUAACACGCAGGCCCAAAAACCGAACAACUGUUAACAAUGGAUAUCUUGGUUCUC
rnacentral:misc_RNA from 1 species